rnacentral:rRNA from 1 species
CCUACGUGAGGCAGCAGUGAGGAAUAUUGGUCAAUGGCCGGAAGGCUGAACCAGCCAUGCCGCGUGAAGGUCAGUGCCCUAUGGGCGUUAAACUUCUUUUGUGCGGGAGCAAUAAUGGUCACGUGUGGCCAGACGAGAGUACCGUACGAAUAAGCAUCGGCUAACUCCGUUCCAGCAGCCGCGGUAAUACGGGGGAUGCAAGCGUUAUCCGGAUUUAUUGGGUUUAAAGGGUGCGUAGACGGUGGGGUAAGUCAUCGUUGAAAUGCCCACGCUCAACGGGGUGAAGUCCCAUUGAUACUGCUUGGGUGGAGUGCGGAGGCGGUGGGAGGAAUGUGUGGUGUAGCGGGGAAGUGCAUAGAUAUCACACAGAACCCCGAUUGCGAAGGCAUCUCACGAAUCCGCGAUUGACGCUGAGGCACGAAGGCGUGGGUAUCAAACAGGAUUAGAUACCCGGGUAGUC